GUUAGGAAUAUUGGACAAUGGGCGCAAGCCUGAUCCAGCCAUGCCGCGUGAGUGAUGAAGGCCUUCGGGUUGUAAAGCUCUUUAGCCGAUGAUUAUAAUGACUGUAGUCGGAAAAUAAGCCCCGGCUAACUUCGUGCCAGCAGCCGCGGUAAUACGAAGGGGGCGAGCGUUAUUCGGAAUCACUGGGCGUAAAGCGUGCGUAGGCGGCUUUGCAAGUUGGGAGUGAAAGCCCAGGGCUCAACCCUGGAAUUGCUCUCAAAACUGCAAGGCUCGAAUUCGGGAGAGGAUAGCGGAAUUGUCAGUGUAGCAGUGAAAUGCGUAGAUAUUGACAGGAACACCAGUGGCGUAAGCGGCUAUCUUGACCGAUAUUGACGCUGAGGCACGAAAGCGUGGGGAUCAAACAGGAUUAGAAACCCUAGUAGUCC
rnacentral:rRNA from 1 species